rnacentral:rRNA from 1 species
AGAAUCAACGCUGGCGGCGUGCCUAACACAUGCAAGUCGAACGAGAAAGUGGAGCAAUCCAUGAGUAAAGUGGCGCACGGGUGAGUAACACGUGACUAACCUACCCUUGAGUGGGGAUAACCUAGGGAAACCUGGGCUAAUACCGCAUAAUACCUUCGGGUCAAAGGAGCAAUUCGCUUAAGGAGGGGUCGCGGCCGAUUAGUUAGUUGGCGGGGUAAUGGCCCACCAAGACUGUGAUCGGUAU